GGUGUGUGGUGUUUAAUGGGAGCAUGGUCGCUUUGGGAGCGAGCGGAAAGAGUUCGAAUCUCUUCACACC
rnacentral:tRNA from 1 species